CGAAAUGCGAUAAGUAGUGUGAAUUGCAGAAUUCAGUGAAUCAUCGAAUCUUUGAACGCGCAUUGCGCCCUUUGGUAUUCCUUAGGGCAUGCCUGUUCGAGCGUCAUUUAAACCUCCAAGCCCUGCUUGGUGUUGGGUGCCUGUCCCGCCCCCGCGCGUGGACUCACCUCAAAUCCAUUGGCGGCCCCCGCAUGGCCACGAGCGCAGCAGAAACGCAAACUCGUGUGCCGGACCGGGCGGCUCCCAGAAGCUACACUCACCAUUUUUGACCUCGGAUCAGGUAGGGAUACCCGCUGAACUUAAGC
rnacentral:misc_RNA from 1 species